AUGGGGAUGCAGAAAACCAGGGAUAAGGACACUGAAAAUCAGGGAUGGGGAUGUAGAAAAUCAGGGAUGGGAAUAGUGGAAUUCAGGGAUGGGGAUGCUGGAAAUCAGAGAUGGGGAUGUUGGAAAUCAGGGAUAAGGACACUGAAAUCAGGGAUGGGGACACUGAAAUCAGAGAUGGGGACACUGAAAUCAGGGAUGGGGACACUGAAAUUAAGGAUGGGGACACUGAAAUCAGGGAUGGGAUCAGUGGAAAUGAGCGAUGGAGAUGCUGCUGUCACCUCUAGGCCUCGUUUUUCCUCUCCAGGGCCUUUCUUUGCUUUUAAAGCAAAUAUUUGGCUCCUUGCCCUGAGUUCUCCUGCCCUGACAUGCGGGCAGUGCCAGCUCCCUUCUCUUCCCCCCUCUCCCUCCAAAAAAAAACCCUCGGAAUUCCCCCCCAGAAUCACCCAGAAACGCGGGGGACCCAAGGCUGCCUCCGCUCCUCGCCGCUUUCCCAGGAUAUUUGGAUUUUCCAGGGGCCACCUCUCAGCACAUUCCUGGAAGUUUUCCCGGGGCCCAGGUCGGCAGGGAAGAGCCAGGACCAACCCGGGGGUUUUGUGUAUUUUCGGGAGCUGCUGUUUAUUUGUUUUGGGAGCUGAUCUGCCGAGGAAUUCGCCUCGGUUUUCCCACAGAUACACCCCGGUUUGGUUUUUGGUUUUUUUUUUUUUGUUUGUUUGUUUCUCAUUUUAUCAGCAAUUCCCGGUGGGAAUGUGCAGCUCCCUGCACAAUGGCCUUAGAAAGGUGGUUUCCUUCUUUUCUUCUUUUUUUCUUCUUUUUUUUCUUCCUUUUUCUUUUUCUUCUUCUUCUUUUCUUUCUUUUUCUUUUUUUAUUUUUUCUUCUUGUUUUCCCUCUUUUUUUUUCUUCUUAUUUUCUUUCUUUUUCUUUUUUUUCCUUUUUCCCCCCUUUUUCUUUUUCUUCUUUUUCUUUCUUUCUUUUUCUUUUUUUUUUCUUUCUUCUUUGUUUUCUUUCUUCUUUUUUUUCUUUCUUCUUUUUUUCUUUUUCUUUUUCUUCUACUUUUUUCCCUUUUUCUUUUUUCUUCUUUUUUUUUCUUUCUUUUUCUUCUUUAUUUCUUCUUUUUCUUUUUUCUUUUUCUUCUUUUUCCUUUAUUUUUUUCCUUUUUUUUCUUUCUUUUCCUUUUUUUUCUUUCUUUUUCUUUUUUUUUCCUUUCUUUUUCUUCUUUCUUUUUCUUCUUCCCUCCCCUUUUUCCUUCUUCUUCUUUAUUUUCGUUUCUUUUUCUUCUUUUCCCGCCUUUUAGGAAAUCCUUCUCCUUCUGAAUCCACAAGCAGAGUGAGCUCUUCACAUCUCACCUCCACCAAAAAAAAAAAACAAAAUAUUCAAGGCCAAAUAAUUCCACUCAAAUCACACCAGAUUGGGGCAAAAAACAUUUUAAAAAAGCUGUGAAACCCAUUUUUCACCUCACAUCCCUGCUCUGAAAGCAGAUGGAGGGGUGGGGCUAAAAGGAGACAAUUUAAACCCAGAAAAUUCUCCAAAUUCAGCAGAAAUAAUUCCUCCCCUACAAGGUUCUGGAGCUGGUUCCUUCCACACCAAGCUCAGCUUCUUCCUGGGAUUUCCACUCGAGGAAUACAAUAAAAUUAAUUAUUAAAACAGCAGGAUUAAAAAAAAAAACAAACCAAAACCAGCUGCUGGAGUUUAUAACAACAGAAAUGGGGGAGCUCCUCUGUGAGGAUUUGUGGGCUUGGCUUUGAGGGAUGGAGGCUUCCAAAAAUCCUGGAUUUUGAGGAAGUUUUCUGGUGAGAAAAUUGGAUAAUGUGGAUUUUUUUUCAGGUCACUUCAUUCUGGAACAUUUUCUGAGGAAAAUUUGAGUGGAAAGAGCCACAGGGAUGUGAGGCCUGUGGGGCCUGAGCUUGGCUUUGAGGGAUGGAGGCUUCCAAAAAUCCAGGUUUUGGGGAAGUUUUUUUGGUGAGAAAAUUGGAUAAUGUGGAUUUUUUUUCAGGUCACUUCAUUCUGGAACAUUUUCUGAGGAAAAUUUGAGUGGAAAGAGCCACAGGGAUGUGAGGCCUGUGGGGCCUGAGCUUGGCUUUGAGGGAUGGAGGCUUCCAAAAAUCCAGGUUUUGGGGAAGUUUUUUUGGUGAGAAAAUUGGAUAAUGUGGAUUUUUUUUCAGGUCACUUCAUUCUGGAAUUUUUUGAGGAAGUUUUGAGUGGAAAGAGCCCUGGGAGAAGCUGCGGGGUUACAAGAAGAGCCUUGAAUGACUGGGUUGAGAGAGAAAAUAUCCAGGGUGCUUUCCCUGCAAAGCCCACAGGAUUUGGGAUAUUUCCAGGCUGAUUUAUGGCGUCUCCAUCCUCUCCAGGGACAAACUUUGGAGCACUCAGCGAGGUUCGUUUCUUCCCAUCUAUUAAAUAAAUGAGAGAAGGAAAGGGGAAGGAGUUUGCCCCAGGGGCAAACAGCGCCAGGGAUUGGGGAUUUAUUUAGCAAACAGCACGGUGGGGAUUUAGGGAAGGAAUUCUUGGAGAAUUUGGGGAAGGAUGUGGAUUAAAACAUCCCAGGAGGACACAGUGGGGGUUAAACUUCACCCUGGGAGCAGGAGCUGGGCCUGGGUCACACAAGGGGAUUUUUAGGGCAAUUGGGGCUUUUUUAGGGCUUUUUUUAGGGCCGUGGAGUGAAACAGCCUCAUAAAGCGCCUCUGGGGGCCGGUUGAUUUAUGGAGGGCAGAAACAACAUCCCUCCCUCGGUGCCACUUAAAUUCUAAUUUUAGAUCUGCCCUAAUUGCUGGGGACAUGUGGGGAAAUGGCCCCACAGCCGCCGGGGGGAGGGGGCAGGAGGGGCGGACCUGCAUCCCCCCGGGAGCCAACCUGGCGUGGGGAAGGGAGUGGCAGGAAAUGGUUUUCCCCCCCCCCCCCCCCCCCCCCCCCCUUGGUUUUUUUUUUUUUUUUUUUUUUUCCGCCCCAAGCCGUGUGUGGCUGUGUGACGGGCACAGCGCGGUGACAGCGAUGUCCCCAGGGGGGGUCCCUGCAGAGCGGGGCCAGCCCUGCCUCAGUUUCCCUGCAGGGAAAAGCUGGGAGCGUCCUCGGGGGAACUGGGGGUGACAGGGAUGGAAAUGUCACAGUGUCACCCCUCUUUGAGCAUCUCAAGGGUGCGGGAUGGAGCAGGGACACCCCGAAACAAGGCUGGGGCUGACAGGGAAACGAUGGGGUGCCACAGACCCCAGCACAAAGCUGGGGACAGCUGCCACUCAAAGUGGGGGGUGACAGGGAGGGACAGACCCUUCCUUUGGUCAUCUCGGGGGUGCGGGAUGGAGUGAGGGACACCCCAGAACAGGGCUGGGGGUGUCCGGGAUGGAAAUGCCACCUCUCUUUGAGCAUCUCAGGGGUGCGGGAUGGAGCAGGGGACACCCCAAAACAAGGCUGGGGGUGUCCGGGAUGGAAAUAUCGGGGUGCCACACACCCCAGAAUAGGACUGGGGUGACAGAGAUGGAAAUGUCGGGGUGCCACAGACCCCGGGACAGGGCUGCCCCCCCCCCCCCCCCCCCCCCCCCCCCCCCCCCCCCCCCCCCCCCCCCCCCCCCCCCCCCCCCCCCC
rnacentral:lncRNA from 12 species